rnacentral:rRNA from 2 species
GGUUAAGUUAGAAAGGGCGCACGGUGAAUGCCUUGGCACUAGGAGCCGAUGAAGGACGGGACUAACACCGAUAUGCUUCGGGGAGCUGUAAGUGAGCUUUGAUCCGGAGAUUUCCGAAUGGGGAAACCCACUGUUCGUAAUGGAACAGUAUCUUUAUCUGAAUACAUAGGAUAUUGAAGGCAGACCCGGGGAACUGAAACAUCUAAGUACCCGGAGGAAGAGAAAGCAAAUGCGAUUUCCUGAGUAGCGGCGAGCGAAACGGAAUUAGCCCAAACCAAGAGGCUUGCCUCUUGGGGUUGUAGGACACUCUAUACGGAGUUACAAAGGAACGAAGUAAAUGAAGCGACCUGGAAAGGUCCGUCAAAGAAGGUAACAACCCUGUAGUUGAAACUUCGUUCCCUCUUGAGUGGAUCCUGAGUACGGCGGAACACGUGAAAUUCCGUCGGAAGCUGGGAGGACCAUCUCCCAAGGCUAAAUACUACCUAGUGACCGAUAGUGAACCAGUACCGUGAGGGAAAGGUGAAAAGCACCCCGGAAGGGGAGUGAAAGAGAUCCUGAAACCGUGUGCCUACAAGUAGUCAGAGCCCGUUAACGGGUGAUGGCGUGCCUUUUGUAGAAUGAACCGGCGAGUUACGAUCCCAUGCAAGGUUAAGCUGAUAAGGCGGAGCCGUAGCGAAAGCGAGUCUGAAUAGGGCGUUUAGUAUGUGGUUGUAGACCCGAAACCAGGUGAUCUACCCAUGUCCAGGGUGAAGUUCAGGUAACACUGAAUGGAGGCCCGAACCCACGCACGUUGAAAAGUGCGGGGAUGAGGUGUGGGUAGCGGAGAAAUUCCAAUCGAACCUGGAGAUAGCUGGUUCUCUCCGAAAUAGCUUUAGGGCUAGCCUCAUGUUGUGAGAGUCUUGGAGGUAGAGCACUGAUUGGACUAGGGGCCCCCAACGGGUUACCGAAUUCAGUCAAACUCCGAAUGCCAAAGACUUAUCCAUGGGAGUCAGACUGCGAGUGAUAAGAUCCGUAGUCAAAAGGGAAACAGCCCAGACCACCAGCUAAGGUCCCCAAGUAUACGUUAAGUGGAAAAGGAUGUGGAGUUGCUUAGACAACCAGGAUGUUGGCUUAGAAGCAGCCACCAUUUAAAGAGUGCGUAAUAGCUCACUGGUCGAGUGACUCUGCGCCGAAAAUGUACCGGGGCUAAACGUAUCACCGAAGCUGUGGAUUGACAUCUUUGAUGUCAGUGGUAGGAGAGCGUUCUAAGUGCUGUGAAGUCAGACCGUAAGGACUGGUGGAGCGCUUAGAAGUGAGAAUGCCGGUAUGAGUAGCGAAAGACAAGUGAGAAUCUUGUCCACCGAAUGCCUAAGGUUUCCUGAGGAAGGCUCGUCCGCUCAGGGUUAGUCGGGACCUAAGCCGAGGCUGAAAAGCGUAGGCGAUGGCCAACAGGUUGAUAUUCCUGUACCACCUCCCCGCCGUUUGAGUAAUGGGGGGACGCAGUAGGAUAGGGUAAGCGCGCUGCUGGAUAUGCGCGUUCAAGCAGUUAGGCUGAUGAGUAGGCAAAUCCGCUCAUCAUAAAGGCUGAGCUGUGAUGACGAGGGAAUUAUAGUACCGAAGUUCCUGAUUCCACACUGCCAAGAAAAGCCUCUAGCGAGGCGGGAGGUGCCCGUACCGCAAACCGACACAGGUAGGCGAGGAGAGAAUCCUAAGGUGAUCGAGAGAACUCUCGUUAAGGAACUCGGCAAAAUGACCCCGUAACUUCGGGAGAAGGGGUGCUCUGGUAGGGUGUAUAGCCCGAGAGAGCCGCAGUGAAUAGGCCCAGGCGACUGUUUAGCAAAAACACAGGUCUCUGCGAAGCCGCAAGGCGAAGUAUAGGGGCUGACGCCUGCCCGGUGCUGGAAGGUUAAGAGGAGGGGUUAUCCUUUGGGAGAAGCUCUGAAUCGAAGCCCCAGUAAACGGCGGCCGUAACUAUAACGGUCCUAAGGUAGCGAAAUUCCUUGUCGGGUAAGUUCCGACCCGCACGAAAGGCGUAACGAUCUGGGCACUGUCUCAACGAGAGACUCGGUGAAAUUAUAGUACCUGUGAAGAUGCAGGUUACCCGCGACAGGACGGAAAGACCCCGUGGAGCUUUACUGUAGCCUGAUAUUGAAUUUUGGUACAGCUUGUACAGGAUAGGUAGGAGCCUGAGAAGCCGGAGCGCUAGCUUCGGUGGAGGCGUCGGUGGGAUACUACCCUGGCUGUAUUGAAAUUCUAACCCGCGGCCCUGAUCGGGCCGGGAGACAGUGUCAGGUGGGCAGUUUGACUGGGGCGGUCGCCUCCUAAAAUGUAACGGAGGCGCCCAAAGGUUCCCUCAGAAUGGUUGGAAAUCAUUCGUAGAGUGUAAAGGCACAAGGGAGCUUGACUGCGAGACCUACAAGUCGAGCAGGGACGAAAGUCGGGCUUAGUGAUCCGGUGGUUCCGCAUGGAAGGGCCAUCGCUCAACGGAUAAAAGCUACCCCGGGGAUAACAGGCUUAUCUCCCCCAAGAGUCCACAUCGACGGGGAGGUUUGGCACCUCGAUGUCGGCUCAUCGCAUCCUGGGGCUGUAGUCGGUCCCAAGGGUUGGGCUGUUCGCCCAUUAAAGCGGUACGCGAGCUGGGUUCAGAACGUCGUGAGACAGUUCGGUCCCUAUCCGUCGUGGGCGUAGGAAAUUUGAGAGGAGCUGUCCUUAGUACGAGAGGACCGGGAUGGACACACCGCUGGUGUACCAGUUGUCUUGCCAAAGGCAUCGCUGGGUAGCUAUGUGUGGACGGGAUAAGUGCUGAAAGCAUCUAAGCAUGAAGCCCCCCUCAAGAUGAGAUUUCCCAUAGCGUAAGCUAGUAAGAUCCCUGAAAGAUGAUCAGGUUGAUAGGUCAGAGGUGGAAGCGUGGCGACAUGUGUAGCUGACUGAUACUAAUCGAUCGAGGACUUAACCAA